rnacentral:rRNA from 1 species
CAGUAGCCACGGGAAUACGUAGGGUGCAAGCGUUAAUCGGAAUUACUGGGCGUAAAGCGUGCGCAGGCGGUUUGUUAAGACAGAUGUGAAAUCCCCGGGCUCAACCUGGGAACUGCAUUUGUGACUGGCAGGCUAGAGUAUGGCAGAGGGGGGUGGAAUUCCGCGUGUAGCAGUGAAAUGCGUAGAUAUGCGGAGGAACACCGAUGGCGAAGGCAGCCCCCUGGGCCAAUACUGACGCUCAUGCACGAAAGCGUGGGGAGCAAACAGGAUUAGAUACCCCUGUAGUCCCUGUCUCUUAUAA